AUUGAACGCUGGCGGAAUGCUUUACAUAUGCAAGUCGAGCGGCAGCGCGGCCUUCGGGCUGGCGGCGAGCGGCGAACGGGUGAGUAAUGCAUCGGAACAUGCCCAGUCGUGGGGGAUAACACUUCGAAAGAAGUGCUAAUACCGCAUACGUCCUGAGGGGGAAAGCGGGGGAUCGCAAGACCUCGCGCGAUUGGAGUGGCCGAUGUCAGAUUAGCUAGUUGGUGGGGUAAAGGCCUACCAAGGCGACGAUCUGUAGCUGGUCUGAGAGGAUGAUCAGCCACACUGGGACUGAGACACGGCCCAGACUCCUACGGGAGGCAGCAGUGGGGAAUUUUGGACAAUGGGGGCAACCCUGAUCCAGCCAUUCCGCGUGAGUGAAGAAGGCCUUCGGGUUGUAAAGCUCUUUCGGCAGGAACGAAACGGUGGGCUCUAACAUAGUCCGCUAAUGACGGUACCUGAAGAAGAAGCACCGGCUAACUACGUG
rnacentral:rRNA from 1 species